CUCGUCGGGUCGAUUUCAAAUUGUCAUCCCUUCAACUACUCCGAAUGCGAAGCCCAAAACCUCGAAAACGAUCUCCAAACCCUAAAGCAAAAGCGCUCUGAUCUCGAAUGCCCCAAUGCUGAUUCCCUGUCUUCCCGCUGCGACCUUUUACAAAACUACUUCAAAGCUCUCCGCACCAUCGAAUCUCGAUUCCCGCCGUGAAUUUCACCUAGUACGACGCUUUCAAGACCAAAUUGAAGGCUUCGUAGCAGAACAUCUACCUCGAGAAGGCCUCUGUGUUGUUCAAUUGGGGGGCUGUGCAUAACCAGAUUGGAUUGUCGUUCGAUUGGUCUUCGAUUGAAGGAAGGAGAUAAGGUUCGCAUGCUUUUAUUGUUAUGGCUGGGGCGUUUACAUUUUUGAGACAUAAUGAGUCCAUGAAGGCAUCGAUUGGUUGGUUCGGCGACUGUGGAUAGUGUGCCGAGAUGUUGAGGAGGCUUACGCUAGCUCAAGCUCAGGAAUGUGUUUUUGAGAACUCUAUUGCUAAUGGGAGUACUCCUGGGGUUUGUGCUAAAAUCUCUAGACAAAAAUGGAGUGAAUCUAGUUGCUGGUGCUGCUGCUAGUAGUUGUUGUUCUAUUUUAUUUUCCCUUGAGAUGGGGAAUAGAAGUAUGAACUGGCAGUAGCUUGAAAAUGCAUGGAAUGGUGGAUCUGGUGCUGAGCUACUUGUAUUUCUGGUGGAGCUUCAAGAAGGUUCUUUGGAUCAGUUCACACAUGAGAUGGAACCCUUCCUAUACAAGCAAGGGAUGCCUGUUAGGUUGAACAAAGAUAUCGAUUGAUUUUCCAGAUGAUGGUGCAUGGAAACAGUUUCAUAAGCAGUUGCAGCAUUUCCCAAUGGAGUAUGAGGAGAUAAGUGAAGAACCUGAGCAAGCCGCCUUGAAGAAAGUGAACAGCAAGAAGUUGAAGAAGCUGAAGAUAAAGAAACACUGGUAGAUACACAACAGGAGACUGAGCCUGAGCCUAAGGAGGAGGAAGUUCCACCGUUGAUAUCAACUGACCAAACUGAGGAUCUGUUGGGUUUAAAUGAAAUAAAUUCUAAAGCUGCCGAACUAGAAGAAAGUAAUGCAUUAGCGCUUGCUAUAGUUCCACCUGGUAAGUUGCAUACUAGUUUUUUUUUUCCCUCCCUUUUCAUUUUGGUAUAUUUAUUGGAUUUGCUUGUCUGUCCCUUUUCUUGGUCUGUGUGCAUUCUUUUCUUUUGGGUAUAUACCCCAUCCUAUGAGGCAACCAUUUAUAGGUGUCAAUAUUGUGCUGAACUCACACCAUCAUCAGUUAGAUGAAAAUACCUAACCAUACAUAUGAACAUGUAGAUUUGGUUUAUAUUUGAGCAUAAGGUUUUAUUAAUAGCUUAAUACUUUUAUUUCCUUAGCUGUAUAAGGUUUUAUUAACCAUACAACUCUCUUCUGGCUAUUAAUUUGCCUGUAUGUUCAUGUCUGAUGAUGAGUUAACUGCUGAAAUCUUUUAACACAUGAGUUUUCCUAUAUUCAAGGGCACAGAUGAAAUGUUUGCAUAACCCUGUUCCUUCUCCUGAGCAUUGUUGCCCUCAUAGUUCAUACUCAGCUAUCGUAAGAUAUUUGGUCCAUUUUUUCCAUGAGAAUUGAUUAUUCAAUCAAAGUGGUUAUUCUUUUUCUAUUGAAGCAGGAGAUAAAGAGUCAGUGUGAUGAGAAAAAUACAGGUUGUAUCUUUUGUAAGACUAGGAUAGUCUCUAUAAAUAAUUAGUUUCUUCAUAUGCUUCUGCGGUUUCGGAAUUAAUUUGUGUUUUCAUUUUUCAGGUCAGAAAUUUCUUGGAGAGAUGCAAAAUAUGUGUCAAAGAAUUAAAGAACUUAAUUUUUUAAGUUUUUUCAUUUUUUAAUAUGUGUAAGCA